rnacentral:rRNA from 1 species
CAAUAGCGUAUAUUAAAGUUGUUGCGGUUAAAAGCUCGUAGUUGGAGUUCUGCCAGGUGUCGCUUGUCCGCCCAAGUGGUGUGUACAGGGGUACAUCUGGCCCUUUCAAGGGGAACGUAUCCCCACUUAAUUGUGAGGUGCGAGAUCCUUGACUUUUACUUUGAGGAAAUAAAGAGUGUUCCAAGCAGGCUCUCGUCGUGCAUAGCUCAGCAUGGAAUAAUAGCAUUGGACCUCGUCUCUACGCUGUUGGUUGCAAGAAACGAGGUAAUGAUAAAGAGGGAUAGUUGGGGGCGAUUCGUAUUUAACUGUCAGAGGUGGAAUUCUUAGAUUGCGUUACGACGAACUACUGCGAAAGCAUUUGCCAAGGAUGUUUUCAUUGAUCAAGAACGAAAGUAAUGGGGA